GCGGGGAGCGCGCGCCCGACGGUCGGCGCCCCUGGGUGCACAGUCCCGGCGGCCCGGCUCUGCCAGCGCCUCCUGACCAAGUCUCUACGGUCGCCCUCCCCUCGGGGUGGCCACGAGGGACUCCUCCUCCUCUUCCUCCUCCCUUCCCUCCCCCUCGGCCUCCGCCUUCUCCUUCUCCCCCUUGUUCGCUGCCCCGACCUCCCGCCCCCAGCUCCAUGCGCUCUCUUGCCAGCCCCGCUCAUCCAGAGAAGCCCUGGGCCCGAUGCCCACUACCCAAGGGGCACCGGGGAGGCCUCUGCUCCCUGGACACAGUAGUUCUCAAACUGGACAGUGUCAAUCAGCAUCCUCCGGGAGGUCAGGGGUGGCCCUGGAAAUACACGUGUCCCACCUGUCCCCGCAGGUGAUGAAACUCCUGCUCUGGUCCGAGCUACCCCUGAACAGCGCUCAGCGGGCCGGGCCCCCAACCUGGCUCCUGACCCUGAAAAUCCCCCCAACCCCGCCGUGAGAAUUCAGCGAAGAGUAAAAGCUGGAAAAAGUUGCGUGUCUCAGGCUAAGCAGAACAAAGUGGGUGACGGCUCCCCCUCUUGAACAGAGAUGCCGUUAGGGAGCCCCCUGAUGGAAGAGCUCUUGGCUUAAGAAGGUCACCACUCCCUUGCACUCAGAUGAGGAAACAAAGGUCCAGAGAUCUUAAUUGCAUCACACAGCUGGGAGGACAUGGUAACAAGGUGGACGCCUGGAAUACAGGAAGAGAGCCCUCACUGGGGACCUGAGCCUGCUGGCACCUUGACCUUGGACUUCCCAGCCUCUGGAUCUGUGAGAAAUAAAUUUCUGUUAUUUGAGCCGCCCAGUCUAUCGCAUUUUGUGAUGGCAGUCUGAAGUGAGACAGUGUGUGAGCAUGUGAGUGUGGGGGUGUGAUACAAAAUGAACCAAAGCCAGCUAAAAUCUGCCACAGGCUGAGACAAUCCAUCAGCCAAAACUCCAGGUUCAGGCUACAUAAUAUUGUCAGAGAUCAUCA